rnacentral:rRNA from 1 species
ACGCGCCGAACCUUACCAGGUCUUGACAUACUCGUGCUAUUCCUAGAGAUAGGAAGUUCCUUCGGGACACGGGAUACAGGUGGUGCAUGGUUGUCGUCAGCUCGUGUCGUGAGAUGUUGGGUUAAGUCCCGCAACGAGCGCAACCCCCUAUUGUUAGUUGCCAUCAUUAAGUUGGGCACUCUAACGAGACUGCCGGUGAUAAACCGGAGGAAGGUGGGGAUGACGUCAAAUCAUCAUGCCCCUUAUGACC